GCCCGGGUGGUGGAAUAGGUAGACACAGCAGACUUAAAAUCUGCCGGCUUUUUAAAGCUGUGCCGGUUCGAGUCCGGCCCCGGGUA
rnacentral:tRNA from 1 species